rnacentral:rRNA from 1 species
UACAGAGGUCCCAAGCGUUGUUCGGAUUCAUUGGGCGUAAAGGGUGCGUAGGCGGCGCGGUAAGUCGGGUGUGAAAUCUCGGGGCUUAACUCCGAAACUGCAUUCGAUACUGCCGUGCUUGAGGACUGGAGAGGAGACUGGAAUUUACGGUGUAGCGGUGAAAUGCGUAGAUAUCGUAAGGAAGACCAGUGGCGAAGGCGGGUCUCUGGGACGGUACUGACGCUGAGACGCGAAAGCGUGGGGAGCGAACAGG